rnacentral:rRNA from 1 species
GACGAACGCUGGCGGCGUGCUUAACACAUGCAAGUCGAGCGGUAAGGCCCUUUCGGGGGUACACGAGCGGCGAACGGGUGAGUAACACGUGGGUGACCUGCCCUUAGCUCUGGGAUAAGCCUGGGAAACUGGGUCUAAUACCGGAUAUGACUCCAUGACGCAUGUUGUGGGGUGGAAAGCCUUGUGCGGCUAGGGAUGGGCCCGCGGCCUAUCAGCUUGUCGGUGGGGUNAUUGGCCUACCAAGGCGACGACGGGUAGCCGGCCUGAGAGGGCGACCGGGCCACACUGGGGACUGAGGACACGGCCCCAGACUCCUACGGGAGGCAGCAGUGGGGAAUCUUGCGCAAUGGGCGAAAGCCUGACGCAGCGACGCCG